CAUAGAUGUUCCUAGGAACGACGAUGUCGCCGAUGUUGUUGUGCCACGGGUCCGCCAGGUGCGCGCCCAGGUUCUCCAGCGGGCCGGUGCCGGGGUACGCCGACUGCUGCACGCAGAAGCCCACGAACGCCAGCAUCGCCAGCCGCCCUGCAUCAUCAUCAGAGACAAGAUCAUACUACAUCAGCACCGAACGCUACACGCACUGCAGAUGGUUAAGAUUCAGGGGAUGGCACGUACCGUUCUUGAUCUCCUUGAGCUUGAGCUCCUCGAACUUGGCCGGGUCCUUGGAGAAUCCCAGCGGGUCGAAGGCGCCGCCGGGGUACUUCUUCUUCUCCGGGUCCUUCUCCAUGGUGCGCUGCUGCUCCGCGAAGGCGAUGGCCAGGAACUCGAUGGCCAGGAUGGUCGGCAGGUUGCCCCACGGCACGGGCACGCCGAAGUAGGUCGCCUGCCCGUCGGGGAGCGCCGCCCAUUCCUGCGCCUUCACCCAGUUCCCCAGCCCCAGCGCCUCCGGCACCAACACCCCUGGCUGCACGCCAACACGCACGGUUUAUCACUAGCGAACAGCUUGAAAAGUGAUGCAGAGGAGAGCAGAGGAGCACGGUUACGUACCACGCAGAGCAUGGCCCAGCGGCAGUGGUAGAUCUCGGACUCCUUGAACCGCUCGAAGUUCUCCGGUACGGUGGCGAGGCCGAGGGGGUCGAACCCGAAGUCGCUGAGAGUUAACAAAGGCAAGAGUUAAUCACCGGUCAGAUAUACCCCUCCGUCUCACCGUCUCAUGUCAAGUGAAUUUCUAUUGCAUGUAUCUGUGUAGAUACAUUUGGACAAAUUUAAGUCACUUAAUAUGGGACACAGCGAGUACAUGUUUUGGAUUUAGUAUGGCAAAUGGAUGCUUACCCGGGCGAGGAGCCGUCGAGGUGGGCAGGGCGGGGCUGGCCGGGGAACCACUCGGCGGACAUGGUGACCCGGCCGGAGGUGGUGGCGAAGGCGCAGAACGGCAGGCCCGAGCGGCCGGACCGGGACGAAGGCGCCAGCAGGCUGGGCACGCCCACGGCGCUGCAGCUCCUCAGCCCGCUCGACGACGCCAUCGACAUUGCUGCUAGCUCGAUGCUACCCAGUUAGUUUCAGUUCUUGCUGCGCUCUCCGGCAACAACAACAAGAAGAGGGGAGGAUCAGGCGUCC
rnacentral:lncRNA from 1 species